AAUUUACAAUGAAGAGUUUGAUCCUGGCUCAGGAUGAACGCUAGCGAUAGGCCUAACACAUGCAAGUCGAGGGGCAGCACAUGAAGUAGCAAUACGGAUGGUGGCGACCGGCGCACGGCUGAGUAACGCGUAUGCAACCUGCCUACAACAAGGGAAUAACCCGUUGA
rnacentral:rRNA from 1 species